rnacentral:rRNA from 1 species
UUAAGCGACUAAGCGUACACGGUGGAUGCCCUGGCAGUCAGAGGCGAUGAAGGACGUGCUAAUCUGCGAAAAGCGUCGGUAAGGUGAUAUGAACCGUUAUAGCCGGCGAUGUCCGAAUGGGGAAACCCAGUGCAAUUCGUUGCACUAUCGUUAACUGAAUACAUAGGUUAACGAGGCGAACCGGGGGAACUGAAACAUCUAAGUACCCCGAGGAAAAGAAAUCAACCGAGAUUCCCCCAGUAGCGGCGAGCGAACGGGGAGCAGCCCAGAGUCUGAAUCAGCUUGUGUGUUAGUGGAACGGUCUGGAAAGUCCGACGGUACAGGGUGAUAGUCCCGUACACCAAAAUGCACAGGUUGUGAACUCGAAGAGUAGGGCGGGACACGUGGUAUCCUGUCUGAAUAUGGGGGGACCAUCCUCCAAGGCUAAAUACUCCUGACUGACCGAUAGUGAACCAGUACCGUGAGGGAAAGGCGAAAAGAACCCCGGCGAGGGGAGUGAAAAAGAACCUGAAACCGUGUACGUACAAGCAGUGGGAGCACCUUCGGGUGUGACUGCGUACCUUUUGUAUAAUGGGUCAGCGACUUAUAUUCUGUAGCAAGGUUAACCGUAUAGGGGAGCCGCAGGGAAACCGAGUCUUAACUGGGCGUUAAGUUGCAGGGUAUAGACCCGAAACCCGGUGAUCUAGCCAUGGGCAGGUUGAAGGUUGGGUAACACUAACUGGAGGACCGAACCGACUAAUGUUGAAAAAUUAGCGGAUGACUUGUGGCUGGGGGUGAAAGGCCAAUCAAACCGGGAGAUAGCUGGUUCUCCCCGAAAGCUAUUUAGGUAGCGCCUCGUGAAUUCAUCUUCGGGGGUAGAGCACUGUUUCGGCUAGGGGGUCAUCCCGACUUACCAACCCGAUGCAAACUACGAAUACCGAAGAAUGUUAUCACGGGAGACACACGGCGGGUGCUAACGUCCGUCGUGAAGAGGGAAACAACCCAGACCGCCAGCUAAGGUCCCAAAGUCAUGGUUAAGUGGGAAACGAUGUGGGAAGGCACAGACAGCCAGGAUGUUGGCUUAGAAGCAGCCAUCAUUUAAAGAAAGCGUAAUAGCUCACUGGUCGAGUCGGCCUGCGCGGAAGAUGUAACGGGGCUAAACCAUGCACCGAAGCUGCGGCAGCGACACUAUGUGUUGUUGGGUAGGGGAGCGUUCUGUAAGCCUGCGAAGGUGUGCUGUGAGGCAUGCUGGAGGUAUCAGAAGUGCGAAUGCUGACAUAAGUAACGAUAAAGCGGGUGAAAAGCCCGCUCGCCGGAAGACCAAGGGUUCCUGUCCAACGUUAAUCGGGGCAGGGUGAGUCGACCCCUAAGGCGAGGCCGAAAGGCGUAGUCGAUGGGAAACAGGUUAAUAUUCCUGUACUUGGUGUUACUGCGAAGGGGGGACGGAGAAGGCUAUGUUAGCCGGGCGACGGUUGUCCCGGUUUAAGCAUGUAGGCUGGUUAUCCAGGCAAAUCCGGAUAAUCAAGGCUGAGGUGUGAUGACGAGGCACUACGGUGCUGAAGUAACAAAUGCCCUGCUUCCAGGAAAAGCCUCUAAGCAUCAGGUAACAUCAAAUCGUACCCCAAACCGACACAGGUGGUCAGGUAGAGAAUACCAAGGCGCUUGAGAGAACUCGGGUGAAGGAACUAGGCAAAAUGGUGCCGUAACUUCGGGAGAAGGCACGCUGGUGUGUAGGUGAAGCCCCUGCGGGUGGAGCUGAGACCAGUCGAAGAUACCAGCUGGCUGCAACUGUUUAUUAAAAACACAGCACUGUGCAAACACGAAAGUGGACGUAUACGGUGUGACGCCUGCCCGGUGCCGGAAGGUUAAUUGAUGGGGUUAUCCGUAAGGAGAAGCUCUUGAUCGAAGCCCCGGUAAACGGCGGCCGUAACUAUAACGGUCCUAAGGUAGCGAAAUUCCUUGUCGGGUAAGUUCCGACCUGCACGAAUGGCGUAAUGAUGGCCAGGCUGUCUCCACCCGAGACUCAGUGAAAUUGAACUCGCUGUGAAGAUGCAGUGUACCCGCGGCAAGACGGAAAGACCCCGUGAACCUUUACUAUAGCUUGACACUGAACAUUGAGCCUUGAUGUGUAGGAUAGGUGGGAGGCUUUGAAGCGUGGACGCCAGUCUGCGUGGAGCCAACCUUGAAAUACCACCCUUUAAUGUUUGAUGUUCUAACGUUGGCCCCUGACCGGGGUUGCGGACAGUGUCUGGUGGGUAGUUUGACUGGGGCGGUCUCCUCCCAAAGCGUAACGGAGGAGCACGAAGGUUAGCUAAUCCUGGUCGGACAUCAGGAGGUUAGUGCAAUGGCAUAAGCUAGCUUGACUGCGAGCGUGACGGCGCGAGCAGGUGCGAAAGCAGGUCAUAGUGAUCCGGUGGUUCUGAAUGGAAGGGCCAUCGCUCAACGGAUAAAAGGUACUCCGGGGAUAACAGGCUGAUACCGCCCAAGAGUUCAUAUCGACGGCGGUGUUUGGCACCUCGAUGUCGGCUCAUCACAUCCUGGGGCUGAAGUAGGUCCCAAGGGUAUGGCUGUUCGCCAUUUAAAGUGGUACGCGAGCUGGGUUUAGAACGUCGUGAGACAGUUCGGUCCCUAUCUGCCGUGGGCGCUGGAGAAUUGAGGGGGGCUGCUCCUAGUACGAGAGGACCGGAGUGGACGCAUCACUGGUGUUCGGGUUGUCAUGCCAAUGGCACUGCCCGGUAGCUAAAUGCGGAAGAGAUAAGUGCUGAAAGCAUCUAAGCACGAAACUUGCCCCGAGAUGAGUUCUCCCUGAGACUUUAAGUCUCCUGAAGGAACGUUGAAGACGACGACGUUGAUAGGCCGGGUGUGUAAGCGCAGCGAUGCGUUGAGCUAACCGGUACUAAUGAACCGUGAGGCUUAACCU